UCGGGGUACUCGAGUGGCGAACGGGUGAGUAACACGUGGGUGAUCUGCCCUGCACUUUGGGAUAAGCCUGGGAAACUGGGUCUAAUACCGAAUAGGACCACGCGCUUCAUGGUGUGUGGUGGAAAGCUUUUGCGGUGUGGGAUGGGCCCGCGGCCUAUCAGCUUGUUGGUGGGGUAAUGGCCUACCAAGGCGACGACGGGUAGCCGGCCUGAGAGGGUGACCGGCCACACUGGGACUGAGAUACGGCCCAGACUCCUACGGGAGGCAGCAGUGGGGAAUAUUGCACAAUGGGCGCAAGCCUGAUGCAGCGACGCCGCGUGAGGGAUGACGGCCUUCCGGGUUGUAAACCUCUUUCAAUAGGGACGAAGCGCAAGUGACGGUACCUAUAGAAGAAGCACCGGCCAACUACGUGCCAGCAGCCGCGGUAAUACGUAGGGUGCGAGCGUUGUCCGGAAUUACUGGGCGUAAAGAGCUCGUAGGUGGUUUGUCGCGUUGUUCGUGAAAACUCACAGCUUAACUGUGGGCGUGCGGGCGAUACGGGCAGACUAGAGUACUGCAGGGGAGACUGGAAUUCCUGGUGUAGCGGUGGAAUGCGCAGAUAUCAGGAGGAACACCGGUGGCGAAGGCGGGUCUCUGGGCAGUAACUGACGCUGAGGAGCGAAAGCGUGGGGAGCGAACAGGAUUAGAUACCCUGGUAGUCCACGCCGUAAACGGUGGGUACUAGGUGUGGGUUCCUUCCUUGGGAUCCGUGCCGUAGCUAACGCAUUAAGUACCCCGCCUGGGGAGUACGGCCGCAAGGCUAAAACUCAAAGGAAUUGACGGGGGCCCGCACAAGCGGCGGAGCAUGUGGAUUAAUUCGAUGCAACGCGAAGAACCUUACCUGGGUUUGACAUGCACAGGACGCCGGCAGAGAUGUCGGUUCCCUUGUGGCCUGUGUGCAGGUGGUGCAUGGCUGUCGUCAGCUCGUGUCGUGAGAUGUUGGGUUAAGUCCCGCAACGAGCGCAACCCUUGUCCUAUGUUGCCAGCGGGUUAUGCCGGGGACUCGUAGGAGACUGCCGGGGUCAACUCGGAGGAAGGUGGGGAUGACGUCAAGUCAUCAUGCCCCUUAUGUCCAGGGCUUCACACAUGCUACAAUGGCCGGUACAAAGGGCUGCGAUGCCGUGAGGUGGAGCGAAUCCUUUCAAAGCCGGUCUCAGUUCGGAUCGGGGUCUGCAACUCGACCCCGUGAAGUCGGAGUCGCUAGUAAUCGCAGAAUCAGCAACGCUGCGGUGAAUACGUUCCCGGGCCUUGUACACACCGCCCGUCACGUCAUGAAAGUCGGUAACACCCGAAGCC
rnacentral:rRNA from 2 species